GAUGAACGCUGGCGGCGUGCCUAAUACAUGCAAGUCGAGCGAAUGGAUUAAGAGCUUGCUCUUAUGAAGUUAGCGGCGGACGGGUGAGUAACACGUGGGUAACCUGCCCAUAAGACUGGGAUAACUCCGGGAAACCGGGGCUAAUACCGGAUAACAUUUUGAACCGCAUGGUUCGAAAUUGAAAGGCGGCUUCGGCUGUCACUUAUGGAUGGAUCCGAGGCGCAUUAGCUAGUUGGUGAGGUAACGGCUCACCAAGGCAACGAUGCGUAGACGACCCGGGAGGGUCAUCGGCCACACUGGGACUGAGAAACGGGCCGUACUGCUACGGGAGGCAGAAGUAGGGAAUCUUCCGCAAUGGACGAAAGUCUGACGGAGCAACGCCGCGUGAGUGAUGAAGGCUUUCGGGUCGUAAAACUCUGUUGUUAGGGAAGAACAAGUGCUAGUUGAAUAAGCUGGCACCUUGACGGUACCUAACCAGAAAGCCACGGCUAACUACGUGCCAGCCGCCGCGGUAA
rnacentral:rRNA from 1 species